UACGUAGGGUGCAAGCGUUGUCCGGAAUUAUUGGGCGUAAAGAGCUCGUAGGCGGUCUGUCGCGUCGGCUGUGAAAACCCGGAGCUCAACUCCGGGCCUGCAGUCGAUACGGGCAGACUGGAGUUCGGCAGGGGAGACUGGAAUUCCUGGUGUAGCGGUGAAAUGCGCAGAUAUCAGGAAGAACACCGGUGGCGAAGGCGGCUCACUGGCUCGUAACUGACGCUCAUGCACGACAGCGUGGGGAUCAAACAGG
rnacentral:rRNA from 1 species